GAGGACCACAAGUGUCACGGAAAUGGUAAUAAAGAAAUAGACUAAAUUAUAAAGUAAUUCAUUAUUUGAUCUUUUAAUGGGCAAUAAAAGAGGAAUUAAAAAAAAAUAUUUACAAAUUAAAUAUGAAUCCAUCAAUAAGUAGCUCAAAUUAAAAAGGGAUUUACAAAAACAACAUAAAACAGUCAAUAAGUACAUCAUUUAAAAAUACAUUAAUGAAUUCAUAAAUAAAUGAUGCAAUUUAAAAAUCGAUUUGAAAAUGCCGUUUAAAAAGAGAAAUAAAUAACUGGAUUCACAAAUUGAAUUAAGAAUACAGAUUUUAAUCCGCCAUUUAAAUGGGCGAUUUCCUUGGCAUUUGCAUUUCCAUUUCCCCGCUGCUUUUCCUUUUCCUAUUAGCUAUUCGAUUAGCUUAGUCAUUUAGCUUCUCCUAUUAGCCUCUCCAUUUAGCUUUUCCGUGACACUUUGGUCCUUGCGCUGGUGAGACGAGGUAAAGCAAUGCAAAUUAGCCAUGUAACAAGCUCUCUGAUUGGCUAUCACCUGGCAUCUCAUAUGCAGACGUAUGACAUGGAUGUGGGAAGGAGAAGGUGGGUUUUUUUUAAGCACUAGAUGGAAGAAACACGGACUAACACAAUAAAUGCCAUAAUUCAUUUGGCUGACUAUGUCGACAAUCAUAUUCCAGUUGACUAUGACUAUGCUCUAACGAGGUUGCUUCAGCUAAGAGAAAACUUCGAAGCAUCCGGCUGCCAUUUAGAGGACGCUGUUCGGGCCAAGUUGAAUGAGGUGGAGCAUUUAAUUCGCCAAGAGAUUCAGCCCUGUCUUCUUGACUUGCAAAGAGACCAGUUGCAGCUGCAGAUCUCCUUCGGAAUCCCGCGCAGGGAGAUAGCAAGACGAUUUGGUGUGUCUUUAAAAACCCUCCAUCGCAGGAUUGCCCUGUGGGGAUUAAGGUAAGAAACCUCCAGUUGACUAGCUAGCUAAGGCUAACGACAUCUAGCGCUAACUGUCAACCCAUGCGGGUAGUCCUUCGAUAAAAGAUAAGAUAGGACAAGCGGUGAUAGCUACCUUUCCUGUUUUGUAGGCUUGGUCACUAGAGUACGUUUUGUUCGUAUACAACAUGGCAAAUCCUGAGAAAGCAUAUUGAAAUAUAACGUUACAUUCAAGUCCUGAUAAAUGUUAGGUGUAAUGCUAUGGAAUCUACAGGGUCUACAUUUCUCAACAGCUGACUGUAUUUUCAUACUUAAUACUUUGAAAAAAUAGUUUCAGCAGAAAUUGAACUAAAUAUUGUUUAUUUACUUUAUUAUUUAUUAACUGUGGUUCUAAUAGUGUGCAACUUUCUGUUCACUCAGACGAGAUGACUUGAACAACAGUAUCAGUGACGAGGAGUUGGACGUGAUUGUGUCUGACAUUCAUCGCCAUUACCCCAGCGCUGGCUACAAGAUGAUAUUGGGUCACUUGAGAUCAAGGCAACUUUUUGUCAAAAGGGGACGUGUGCUGGCAUCAUUAAGACGUGUGGAUCCUCAAGGGGUACUGAUGCGCAGGCUGUCACUACGAACCGUAAAGCGAAGAUGUUACUCUGUUCCAGCUCCCAACAGCCUUUGGCAUAUUGAUGGCCACCAUAAGCUUAUACGGUAGAACAGUUGCAAUGCUUUCACAACUUCUGUUUAUGGCAGUGAGAUGACUAUAUAGUUCAUGGUGUUUUUUGGUAGGAGGGUGUGAGUGCAUGUGUAGUGUGGACUCUAACAACUCAGGAAUCUCAUUUGUUUCUAAAUACUGAAGAGCAACAAGUUCACCAGUAGGCACUAUUUACUAUUUAGGUUCCCUGCCAAUUAGUGCAAUCCUUUAUCCUAUUUGAUUACCUGUGUAUUGUGUGUAAUCUGCAUCGUCUCAAACACCACUGGCCCAACAAUGACCAAACAUUGGUCCCAUAAUCAACAAUAAGGCAUGGCAUGUUUAUUUGAUUCACAGAAUUCAUACACAGCGGGUGCACAGUGAGUUUUACGAGACCUUGAUCUGAUCAAAUUUUUCAAAAAUCGUAAUGUGCUUCUUAAUUGACUUGAUCUGUUGCUUGCAAAAAAAUCCUGAAUCAAUUGUUAUGCUACGGCUUGGUAUUUAGUUUUAAGAGCCAGUGAGUCAAGGUGAGCUUUAGCUUUUUCUUUUGCACCAGAUGCUAUUUCAUUCACAUUGUCUUUAUCUGAAGGGUGUUCUGCAUCCUUAUUAUCUAAAGGGGUUCUGCAUCAUUCCUGGGAGAUGACAUUUUCUGCAAUUUCAUUGUUCAGUUAUGGUCUUAAUCUAAAUGUUGUACUUUGCCACAUCUUGUUUUCACAUUGUGUGUGUUUCAAUGCUACCUCUGCCAGAAAGUGAUUUAAAAGGACCUUCUUUUUCAUAUUUGUAGAUGGCGAGUGGUUGUGCAUGGUGGUAUUGAUGGGUUUUCACGGCUCAUCCUUUACCUGACUGCAGCGACCAACAACAGAGCCCAAACUGUCCUGGAGAGUUUCCUGUCUGCAGUAGAGCAGUAUGGUAUCCCCUCUAGAGUCCGCUCGGAUAAGGGAGGGGAAAACAUUCUGGUGGCACGCUUCAUGGUGACCAGUCGUGGACUCAAUAGCAACUCUCACAUUGCUGGAAGAAGUGUCCACAAUCAGAGGUGCUUGACACACCAAUAAAGUAAUUUGAUUAGUUGAGUUUCUAGAUAUUUGCAUUAUAGUAAUUGUUACGGCCACAACAAAAUAAACCUUUUGGCUCAAGCUUGUGAUCAGCAACAUAUACAGAGGACACCAUCCUGAGGAUUAUUUUUAAACAAGAGAUUUUAUUUACAAAAGUUUGCCAUGAAUUAACCAAAACUAUGAGAGUCUGGAGGCAUGGCCAAACCGAACAUAAUUUUUUUUUUUUUAAAAAGGUGGGAAGACUGGGCCAACCACACAAUGGGCUGUUAAAUUUUAUAUACUAUAGUUGAAAUUAAAAAUGAUAUAUUCCAAUCGUUGUUAUCAGCAGUAUGUCGAUGAAAAGAUGCCAAUGACAAGUGAAUGGUGAAACUGACCUGUUUGUGUUUUUGACUAGCUGUUUUUAUUUUUGUUUGUUUUUAGAAUUGGCUGUGGCUGUGGAGAGAUGUAUUUGAAAAUGUCAUCGAUCUCUUCUAUACCACUUUUCAUCGUCUGGAAGCUGAGGGAUGGCUUAAUCCAGACAAGGAGACAGACCCCUAUGCUUUACAUAGAUGUUACAUGCCGCAUAUCCAGUCACAUCUGCAACAAUUCCAGAGAGCAUGGAACAACCACUCCUUAAGAACCGCCAGAAACCAAUCCCCUCUGCAGCUGUGGUGGAGCAAAGCAAGAGAGGGGAACAGGACAAACUUUUGUCAGGUACAUGACGAAUGCAGAGUUAACUGGAGAGGGCCAGAGAGACCUGUGACAGACGGAGUUCACAUUCCUGAGUUGAAGCUGCCCCGGGCCCUGUCUGUGGCAGAAUUGGCAACACUGCCAAAUCCGGCUGUAUCAUUGCCAGAGACAAUACCAAUUUACAUUGAGACAGUACGCAUUCUUCGAGAAAUGCUGUAAUCAUGUAUGAUUUGUCAUACAGAUAAGAGUACUAGUGAUUGACCAUUUAUAACUUGUAGUUAGAGCUGUUAUAACCAAUAUUUCUGAAGUGGACACUGACAUUUCAGCAUCUAACAAGUCUGUUUUUAGGUUUUCUUGCAGGUGACUUUUCUGUUAUUGUGUCACCUUAAGCUAUCAAUGUGUAUGUUUUGUUUACAGCUUGUUGCACUGCUCCCAAGUGGCCAAAUAAAAGUUUGAUUUGCCUGGGGCCUGUACCACGAAGCUCGCUUAGAGGGUUAGCGAGGUAUGUUGAGCUCAAAGCCUGGGUUAGUUGUACCACGAAAGUCGAUCUCUUUUAGCGUCGCUGUAUCACCAUGGUGACUUAUGCUCGCAACCAAACCUGGUCGGGAGCAGUUUUUCGGCUUAUGUCUAGCCGGAGAUCGGCUACUUAAAUCGGCGUGCGCAGGUUCCUAGCCCCUCCUCUGACAAUGGCGUCAUCAUUUGUGGGCACGGUUGUAGUGAUUUGGUAGUUCCAGAGAAUGUCUAA